rnacentral:pre_miRNA from 13 species
AAUCCAGCGGAAUCACCUCUGCACAAACUCGUCUUCUGAACCAGUGUGCGGAGAUGCUUCCGCCGCAUU